rnacentral:rRNA from 1 species
CAGUCGCCGCGGUAAAACGUAGGGUGCAAGCGUUAAUCGGAAUUACUGGGCGUAAAGCGUGCGCAGGCGGUUAUAUAAGACAGAUGUGAAAUCCCCGGGCUCAACCUGGGAACUGCAUUUGUGACUGUAUAGCUAGAGUACGGCAGAGGGGGAUGGAAUUCCGCGUGUAGCAGUGAAAUGCGUAGAUAUGCGGAGGAACACCGAUGGCGAAGGCAAUCCCCUGGGCCUGUACUGACGCUCAUGCACGAAAGCGUGGGGAGCAAACAGGAUUAGAUACCCGGGUAGUCCCUGUCUCUUAUAA